AUCGAACGCUGGCGGCAUGCUUUACACAUGCAAGUCGAACGGUAACAGGUUAAGCUGACGAGUGGCGAACGGGUGAGUAAUGCAUCGGAACGUGCCCGAUCGUGGGGGAUAACGCAGCGAAAGCUGCGCUAAUACCGCAUACGAUCUGAGGAUGAAAGCGGGGGACCGUAAGGCCUCGCGCGAUCGGAGCGGCCGAUGUGAGAUUAGGUAGUUGGUGGGGUAAAGGAGCACCAAGCCAACGAUCUGUAGCUGGUCUGAGAGGACGACCAGCCACACUGGGACUGAGACACGGCCCAGACUCCUACGGGAGGCAGCAGUGGGGAAUUUUGGACAAUGGGCGAAAGCCUGAUCCAGCAAUGCCGCGUGCAGGAAGAAGGCCUUCGGGUUGUAAACUGCUUUUGUACGGAGCGAAAAGGCUCUCUCUAAUACAGGGGGCUCAUGACGGUACCGUAAGAAUAAGCACCGGCUAACUACGUGCCAGCAGCCGCGGUAA
rnacentral:rRNA from 1 species